AACGAACGCUGGCGGCACGCUUAACACAUGCAAGUCAAGGGGAAAUGGCUUCGGCCUGAGUACACUGGCGCACGGGUGAGUAACGCGUGAGGAAUCUGCCCAUAAGACUGGGAUAACAUGCCGAAGGGUGUGCUAAUACUGGAUGUGUUUUACUGACGCAUGUUAAUAAAACAAGGGUGGGGCGACCUGCCGCUUAUGGAUGACCUCGCGUCCGAUUAGCUAGUUGGGGGGGUAAUGGCUCACCAAGGCUACGAUCGGUAGCCGGCCUGAGAGGGUGGCCGGCCACACUGGAACUGAGACACGGUCCACACUCCUACGGGAGGCAGCAGUGGGGAAUCUUGCGCAGUGGGGGCAACCCUGACGCAGCGAUGCCGCGUGGACGAAGAAGGCCUUCGGGUCGUAAAGUCCUUUCGCUGGGGAAGAAAGCUAUUCGUAGUAACUGACGGGUAGUUGACGGUACCCA
rnacentral:rRNA from 1 species